GACGAAUGUUGGCGGCGUGCUUAACACACGCAAGUCGAACGAAAAGGCCCUGCUUUUGUGGGGUGCACGAGUGGCCAACGGGUGAGUAUCACGUGAGUACCCUGCCCUCGAUUUUGGGAUAACUUCGGGAAACUGGGGCUAAUACCGGAUAGGAGCUCCUGCUGCAUGGUGUGGGUUGGAAAGUUUCGGCGGUUGGGGAUGGACUCGCGGCCUAUCAGCUUGUUGGUGGGGUAGUGGCUUACCAAGGCUUUGACGGGUAGCCGGCCUGAGAGGGUGACCGGCCACAUUGGGACUGAGAUACGGCCCAGACUCCUACGAGAGGCAGCAGUGGGGAAUAUUGCACAAUGGGCGGAAGCCUGAUGCAGCAACGCCGCGUGCGGGAUGACGGCCUUCGGGUUGUAAACCGCUUUCGCCUGUGACGAAGCGUGAGUGACGGUAAUGGGUAAAGAAGCACCGGCUAACUACGUG
rnacentral:rRNA from 1 species